rnacentral:sRNA from 1 species
CCAAAGAAAUGGCGAAAGGGAAUCAGUGAAUUAAAAGUGUGUAUAAAAACAACGCCCAUUGUAGACUGCCCAUGAAGCCAGUCCCCCAAUUGCCUAACAACCGCACUCGAUUGGAUUAGGACAGGCUUUUGGCGUCACAGGAAUGGAAUGGUUGAUUCGGAGCAGCGUUCCACCGCAACCACGCAGCAGUGUUGACAGGCUGCGGCGUGUCUAUUGGAAGGAGAGAGACAGAGAGAGAGAGAGGAGGACUUGUGUCUAUUUGUUGGCUUAAUUGUUGUUCAAUUAGCAUCUACUGCGGGAGAACUGUGAAGGAACCUUAUUUUCUCGUUCUGUAUUGAAAAGCUGGCUAGUCCAAAGCUGGAUUCGGACUUUCCUCUUUUCCGAACAGCGAAUCGAAAGGAGCUACAAAUAAAGCAAGGCAUAUACAAGCAUAUA